GGAUGCGAUCAUACCAGCACUAAAGCACCGGAUCCCAUCAGAACUCCGAAGGUAAGCGUGCUUGGGCGAGAGUAGUACUAGGAUGGGUGACCUCCUGGGAAGUCCUCGUGUUGCAUUCC
rnacentral:rRNA from 1 species